CCUGCAGUUCAGACUAGAUAAUCUCCCUGAAGUUCAGCAGGUUUGGGUCUGGCCAGUACCUGGAUGGGAGACCAGCUAGGAAAGCUGGGUUGCUGCUGGA
rnacentral:rRNA from 1 species